rnacentral:sRNA from 12 species
ACCGCCGCCGGACGGAGCGGGUCGCGAGGGUUGGGGAACCCGAUGACCGGGUCGCUGCCGAGACGGUUCCGGGUCUUAGGGAGCCCGGGGCCGGUCGUUCUGGCGAAGGAG